GCAAGUCGAACGGUAAGGCCCUUCGGGGUACACGAGUGGCGAACGGGUGAGUAACACGUGGGUAAUCUGCCCUGCACAUCGGGAUAAGCCUGGGAAACUGGGUCUAAUACCGAAUAGGACCACAGAACACAUGUCCUGUGGUGGAAAGCUUUUGCGGUGUGGGAUGGGCCCGCGGCCUAUCAGCUUGUUGGUGGGGUGAUGGCCCACCAAGGCGACGACGGGUAGCCGGCCUGAGAGGGUGUCCGGCCACACUGGGACUGAGAUACGGCCCAGACUCCUACGGGAGGCAGCAGUGGGGAAUAUUGCACAAUGGGCGAAAGCCUGAUGCAGCGACGCCGCGUGGGGGAUGACGGCCUUCGGGUUGUAAACCUCUUUCACCAUCGACGAAGGUUCGGGUUUUCUCGGAUUGACGGUAGGUGGAGAAGAAGCACCGGCCAACUACGUGCCAGCAGCCGCGGUAAUACGUAGGGUGCGAGCGUUGUCCGGAAUUACUGGGCGUAAAGAGCUCGUAGGUGGUUUGUCGCGUUGUUCGUGAAAUCUCACGGCUUAACUGUGAGCGUGCGGGCGAUACGGGCAGACUUGAGUACUGCAGGGGAGACUGGAAUUCCUGGUGUAGCGGUGGAAUGCGCAGAUAUCAGGAGGAACACCGGUGGCGAAGGCGGGUCUCUGGGCAGUAACUGACGCUGAGGAGCGAAAGCGUGGGGAGCGAACAGGAUUAGAUACCCUGGUAGUCCACGCCGUAAACGGUGGGUACUAGGUGUGGGUUUCCUUCCUUGGGAUCCGUGCCGUAGCUAACGCAUUAAGUACCCCGCCUGGGGAGUACGGCCGCAAGGCUAA
rnacentral:rRNA from 1 species